rnacentral:rRNA from 1 species
AAUUAUGUGAUUGUAAUUGGAAUGAGAACAAAAUAUAAAAUUUAACGAGAAACAAGAAGAGGGCAAGUCUGGUGCCAGCACCCGCGGUAAUUCCAGCUCCACUAGCGUAUAUUAAAGUUGUUGCAGUUAAAAAGCUCGUAGUUGAACCUCUGUCUGGGGCUAGUUUUGGCUUUGGUCAGGCUAGUUCUAGGCAUCCGCCUACAAGACUUAGAGGGCAUUCAGUUGUUCACUAGGAGGAGUAGGCAUUUUACUUUGAAAAAAUUAGAGUGUUUAAGGCAGGCAAUCGCCCGCAUAUAUUAGCAUGGAAUAAUAGAAUAGGACACUUUUCCAUUUCGUUGGUUAUUGGAAUCGUGUAAUGAUUAAUAGGGACAGUUGUGGGCAUUUGUAUUUAAUUGUCAGAGGUGAAAUUCUUGGAUUUAUUAAAGACAAACUAACGCGAAAGCAUUUGCCAAGGAUGUUUUCAUUAAUCAAGAACGAAAGUUAGGGGAUCAAAGACGAUCAGAUACCGUCCUAGUCUUAACUAUAAACUAUUCCGACUCAAUGUUUGACUGGCUUAUAUAACCAGUUGAGCGUUGUAUGAGAAAUCAAAGUCUUUAGGUUCUGGGGGGAGUAUGGUUGCAAAGCUGAAACUUAAAGGAAUUGACGGAAGAGCACAACCAGGAGUGGAUUCUGCGGCUUAAUUUGACUCAACACGGGGAAACUUACCAGGUUAAAACAAUAGUGGGAUUGACAGUUUGAGAGCGCUUUCUUGAUUGGUUGGGUGGUGGUGCAUGGCCGUUCUUAGUUGGUGGAGUGAUUUGUCUGCUUAAUUGCGUUAACGAACGAGACCUUAACCUGCUUACUAGACUGGCGAUCAUCAAUCGUUAGCUCUUCUUAGAGGGACUUUGGUUGUUUUAACUCCAAGGAAGUUUGAGGCAAUAACAGGUCUGUGAUGCCCUUAGAUAUCCUGGGCCGCACGCGUCAUACAAUGACUAGUUCAGAAAGUUUUCUCCUGACCCGAAAGGGGAUGGGUAAUCUUGAUAAUACUAGUCGUGUUAGGGAUCGAUCUUUGCAAUUAUAGAUCUUGAACGAGGAAUUCCUAGUAAGUGUGGUUCAUCAGACCGUACUGAUUACGUCCCUGCUCUUUGUACACACCGCCCGUCGCUUCUACCGAGUGGGUGGUCCGGUGAGAUAAUUGAACUUCGCAGGUAACUGAGAGGAAAGAUUAUCAAACCUAUCCACCU